rnacentral:lncRNA from 1 species
CUUUUUAUAUGAGGAAUGUAAGCCCUUUUAAAUUAUCAGGCCCAGGAAGUCUUUCACCUGCUGAGUUUUCAUUCCCUGUACAGCAGAAGGAAAAAAAAGAGAAAACUUUUUUAAGAAAGAAAUUCACCACAUAUUCAAUUCUAAUGACAUACUUUCUCCCACCAUCACCCAGUUGCUGCAAUAUUUUAAAACCUCAUUCUGGAUUCCAGAUAAGCAUAAAUUCAUGAGAAUGUGUUUACUUUUAACCAGAUGUUAUUCAAUUGGAAAGCAGUUAUGUUCUGAUAUUCAGAAAUUUUGAGGAGUACUGGUAAAGUAUUUUGUAGCAUAUCACUCUACGGAGGUUUCUCUGAUUGUUUUCUCAUGAUUGUACUGAAGCUAUACGAUUUUGGGAGAAUACCACAGAGGUGAAGUACUAUUUUCUUUCGAACUCCUGAACUCAGGUAAUCUGCCCGCCUUGGGAGACUCUGGAAUUAUCAUUCAAGUCAAUUUAUAUGCAAUGAUGCAGUCUCAUACACUGUACUCAGCCAAGUUUCUAAUUGAUGGGAUAAAUAGCAACCCUACAUUAUACCCCAAUUUUUGCUUUCAGAAAGAAACGUAUAGCCUUGCAGAUUUGAAGGUUUUUAAAUAUAGUAAGCAUUAAAUGAGUGGACUUCUCUGUUGUUGGCCUAUAUAUUAUUAUUAUAUUGUCUCUUUUUUUUCCUUAUGAAAGCUAGGGCUGCUGGUCAAACCUGAGUUCCUGAAACCUUUAACCCUACUCAGCCAAUACAACCGAUAACAUUCCUGAAGGUAUAGUUAGAUCCAGACUUUAUGGCGCAUGAAGAUUAUACAGUUUGAGAGGCUCUCUUCAAAAUGAUAGACAAAAUUACAUUCAUUUCUUAGAAGGGGCCCAAACAAUGCAAAGCACUGAAGCUUAAGGUUUGUUAGCUUUAUGGAUAAGUCUGCCACUACUAAGGAAAUUUUUGAAAGUGAAAUAAUUAAUGGAUGUAAAAUAAUACCAAAAAUAUAUAUUCCUGUAUAUGUGUGUGUGGUUUCAUAUACAUAUAUUUAUAUAUAUGAGAAACAAAAAACAACAUAUUCAUAGGAACACUAUUUCUAUGUGAGGUUUUGUCUCCCAUCUCCAAUACAGAAUCUAGUGAGUUAGAUUGGACCAUCUAAAUGGUCAAAUUUGAAUCUCAGAUUUUACAAUUCUUUUUUUUUUUUUUUUUUUUUUUUGAGACAGAGUCUCGCUCAGUCGCCCAGGCUGGAGUGCAGUGGCGCCAUCUCGGCUCACUGCAACCUCUGCCUCCUGGGUUCAAGCGAUUCUCCUGCCUCAGUCUCCUGAGUAGCUGGGACUACCAGCACCCGCCACCACACCCAGCUAAUUUUUGUAUUUUUAGUAGAAACAGGGUUUCACCAUAUUGGCCAGGCUGGUCGAACUCCUGAUCUUGUGAUCCGCCCACCUCAGCCUCCCAAAGUGCUGGGAUUACAAGCGUGAGCCACCGUGCUGGCCUACAACUCUUAUGUAAAAUGAGGUAGAGAGAAAUGUGCUAGACUGGAAAAGAGCAAGUCCAAAUACCUAAACUUAAGCUGGCCUGCAUUACUAACCUAGACACUUCCCUGAAUGAGGAUCAGACCUAUUUUACCUAAGCCUCCUAGAAGAGAGGACACCGAGAGAGAUCACUCCUGUGAGUUCCAUUUACCUUUGAAAGCAUCUUCCUAAAACACCGUAGGUUAUCUUUCGUCCUGUAGGGCAAGGGGCCAGGCAGGAGCCCUUUUGUGUGGCAGAGCUAAGCAGCAGAGCAAAGCAAGUUGGCUAGGUGGUACAGGGACAUGGAAGCUACAGAAGCAAACAUGGUUUUCUGCCUUCCCCAUCUCCAGACUACAAAACACACACACACACACACACAGUUGUGAUGUGCUAUGAAACAAUUUGUCAGAUACAAUGAAAGCUUACAUUAAGACAGUGUAAACUGUGGAUCAUGAUCUAUGAGUGGGUCAUGAAAUCUAUCUAGUGGCUUAAGACCAGUAUUUUUAACAAACUAAAUAAUAAAACAUCCUAGUAAAUCACAGAUAAUAAGGAUAAGUAUUCUUUUGUGUUUUAAUUAAUUAAUUGAUUUAUUUAUUAACAGAUGUGGACUCACUCUGUCACUCAGGCUGGGGUGCAGUGGUGCAAUCAUAGAUCAUAGCUGAACUCCUGGACUCAAGUGAUCCUCCUGCCUCAGCCUCCCAAGUAUCUCUGAGGUACCCUUUUCCUCCCAGUUCUUCCUUUUCAUGUCCCUAGCCGUGUCUGGGGU